UGAGUAACACGUGGGGAACCUGCCCCAUAGUCUGGGAUACCACUUGGAAACAGGUGCUAAUACCGGAUAAGAAAGCAGAUCGCAUGAUCAGCUUUUAAAAGGCGGCGUAAGCUGUCGCUAUGGGAUGGCCCCGCGGUGCAUUAGCUAGUUGGUAAGGUAAAGGCUUACCAAGGCGAUGAUGCAUAGCCGAGUUGAGAGACUGAUCGGCCACAUUGGGACUGAGACACGGCCCAAACUCCUACGGGAGGCAGCAGUAGGGAAUCUUCCACAAUGGACGCAAGUCUGAUGGAGCAACGCCGCGUGAGUGAAGAAGGUUUUCGGAUCGUAAAGCUCUGUUGUUGGUGAAGAAGGAUAGAGGUAGUAACUGGCCUUUAUUUGACGGUAAUCAACCAGAAAGUCACGGCUAACUACGUGCCAGCAGCCGCGGUAAUACGUAGGUGGCAAGCGUUGUCCGGAUUUAUUGGGCGUAAAGCGAGCGCAGGCGGAAGAAUAAGUCUGAUGUGAAAGCCCUCGGCUUAACCGAGGAACUGCAUCGGAAACUGUUUUUCUUGAGUGCAGAAGAGGAGAGUGGAACUCCAUGUGUAGCGGUGGAAUGCGUAGAUAUAUGGAAAAAACACCAGUGGCGAAGGCGGCUCUCUGGUCUGCAACUGACGCUGAGGCUCGAAAGCAUGGGUAGCGAACAGGAUUAGAAUACCCUGGUAGUCCCUGCC
rnacentral:rRNA from 1 species